rnacentral:rRNA from 1 species
UACGGAGGGUGCAAGCGUUGUCCGGAUUCAUUGGGUUUAAAGGGUGCGCAGGCGGGCGAUUAAGUCAGGGGUGAAAGACGGUUGCUCAACAAUCGCAGUGCCUUUGAUACUGGUUGUCUUGGGUGACCUUGAGGUAGGCGGAAUGGGUGGUGUAGCGGUGAAAUGCAUAGAUACCACCCAGAACGCCGAUUGCGAAGGCAGCCUACUGGAGGUUCACCGACGCUCAGGCACGAAAGCGUGGGGAUCAAACAGG